UUUUUUUUUUUUUCUUAUCGCAAACGCCUAGUCAACCAGUACACUGAUGCAGUAUUUUUCUUCUUUUUCUGGCGUUUGUUGUUGAUUUUGUUCUCUUUGAAAGACAGCGUGCCUUUAACUGCACGUCCUCGUUUAUUGCGUCACGGAAGCUGACUCGGUCACAUGACGAGUUUGCAUUCCACAGUGAAGCCCCUGUGCGUGGAAUCGGUCUCGCCUUCAAUCUGCUGCAGACUGGAGGGGCAGCGAGGGUCUCUAUACUGAUGCGCGGCUCGACCCACUGGUAGAUAUUUAAAUAAACCUCGGGUCGGGUUACGUGCGGGUCAACAUGAACGUGCAACUGCUGUAUUUAUAAUGUCAUCUAUAAAAAGUGUUGACAAUUACAUUUACAAAUAACAUACACUCUGUAUUUCUAACUAUUGCAGUCAUCAAAGUCAUCAACUGAAUGAGAUACAGAACUGCCUAAUGACACUGUGUUAAUGGACUUUCGACUAUGGACUGUUUACCGAUGAGGAAUAACGGAUUUGGGAUGUGGGAUCAAUUGACAGUUCAAGCCUACUUUCAUGAACAUGAUACAGACUAAAUGUUGAACAGCAGUUUUUGGAUUCAUUAUCUAUCGAAAGACUGUCGCUGCCCCGGAACAGACGGUCUGUACUCCGACCCAUUUCAACGUGCAUCCAGAACCUCAAACAAUGAAUCAGACCUGCUCUUACCUGGAGACGGAACCCGCGGUCGCAGCUGCACGGUCCAGUCUGACUGGUUCCCAUCACAGGAGAGGAGAGGAGAUGACCAGACGUGGCUUCAGCUGAGGGUUUCAUGUUUUUUUUCAAAGGGGUGUUUCUAUAGGGAUAGUGCAGCUGCUGUGAGAGCCGGAGAAAAAAGCUAAUUAUACCCAGCUCUGGAUUUAAAUACCCCUGGGAUGACAACUGAAUGUGCAUUCACAGAGAUAUAUAUAUAAAAAAAGAAAAUCGCCAGGGACUUUCCACGCCCCGGUCUGUUCAAAUCGCACUAUAAAUGAAUGCAUUGUUUAUUAUAAGAGAAAUACCAAGUUGUAUUGAAAGAAAUACAAAGCAAUGCGUUAUUCGAGAAUGAAGUCACCCCAGGCCCGGUAUAAAAGGCUUGUCUAGAGUGUAUUUCUUGGAUGAGAGGAAUGGACGAGGGCUGCACACUCUGUCAUCCCCGACAUUGCUAUUAUGAAGAGGACCCCCAGCUCUUGCCUGUUUGCUCUGACUCUGUUUCUAACCAUUUCAUUGGCAGUGGUGGUGCCCCGGUCUCCAGUGACGUCACCUCCCGGCGGUGAUGUCACUCUCAGCUGCUCUUUCUCCUAUGAAGUGGGGGCUGAUCUCAGCAGAGUGGUGGUUACCUGGCAACGCCCUCCUGCCAAUGAUGUCGUCCACAGUUUCUAUUACGGUCGAGACCAGCUGGAUCUGCAGAAUGAAGCCUACAGGAAUCGGACCCAGCUGUUUCCAGAGCAGCUCGUAUUGGGGAGGAUGAGGGCUGGUACACCUGCAGGGGUGGCCUUUGUCCUCCAGAGGCCGGUAGCUCGCUGACAUCCGCUCUCGAGUUCCUGGGUAUACGCAGGCCCACACUGCUGUGGCUGAAUGCAGCAAGAACUGACAUCAUAAACCAGAGCCUCACCAACCAGCGCUGAGCACUCACAUGGCUGCUGUGUUUAAUAAUCAGGGCUGAGCACUCACAUGGCUGCUGUGUUUAAUAAUCAGGGCUGAGCACUCGCAUGGCUGCUGUGUUUAAUAAUCAGGGCUGAGCACUCACAUGGCUGCUGUGCAUCACAUUCAGGGCUGAGCACUCACAUGGCUGCUGUGUUUAAUAAUCAGGGCUGAGCACUCACAUGGCUGCUGUGCAUCACAUUCAGGGCUGAGCACUCACAUGGCUGCUGUGUUUAAUAAUCAGGGCUGAGCACUCACAUGGCUGCUGUGUUUAAUAAUCAGGGCUGAGCACUCACAUGGCUGCUGUGUUUAAUAUUCAGGGCUGAGCACUCACAUGGCUGCUGUGUUUAAUAAUCAGGGCUGAGCACUCACAUGGCUGCUGUGUUUAAUAAUCAGGGCUGAGCACUCACAUGGCUGCUGUGUUUAAUAAUCAGGGCUGAGCACUCACAUGGCU